ACCAAGAUGAAAUUUUUAUCCCUUACAACAGUCCAAGCUCACAGAAGAUGACAUUUGUAGCAGGAGCGUGAAGAAGCAACACAAGGUCUGAAGACACAGUAAGGUCAUCAGGCAAGCGAUGCACAGGGCAAACCCAUACAGUGCUCUUCAGCAUAUUGUCAGUACAGAGGUCAGCAAGUCUGAUUGCUGCAAUGAAGACCAGGACAUAUGAAGGCAUGUUUUAUCAUCGGUUAAUGCAGCUCCACUAUUUUCUGAGUUACAAAGAGGCGCCUACGCAAAGACAGGAUGGGAGAGGACUGGCCAAAGGGAUGUAGAGCAGAAAAGAAGAUGAGGGUGACAGGGGAACUGUGUCAGGACAGACAUGAAGCUCUGAAGAGAGGAUUUUGCAGUCCAGGCAUGGCGAAGAUCACUAAGAGAGAGUCUGAGGGAUAAUGACCAGGAGUCAAGAAAGUACUGACUACAAAGGAAGAGUGGAGCAAGAAGGAGUGUUAACUAACUCUAAAGAAGAGCUGGCUACACUGGUUACUCUAUUCUUAAAAUAUGUAAAAGACCAACAAAAUGACAGUGACCUUUUCUCUUACUGAAGUACUGAAGAGUUAAACAUGCAGCGAGAGAACUGAGGGGCCCUCAAGCAUCUUAAUUAACAAAGUCACACCAGCUAAAAGUUUUCAACGAAUUUAAACUCUGGCAAGUUUGGAGAACUGUAAAAUUCUUUUCUUAUCAUUCUGAAUGCUGAAUAUCUUAAAGGAUUUACUUUACAACUAAUUUUAAAAUCUAAGCUAAAUUAUUUACUCUGAAUCUCUGAGGUGAUUUUGUGAACAUGGAGGCAUCCAUUUGGGAACAAAGAUGUUGACUUCAUCCCAUCUGACAAGGGCAUUUGAAUGCUGUCAGCAUGGAACUUAGACCAUGGGAGACACCUCACAUUCAUUCAAAAGCUUCUGAAAUCAGCUGGUCCCCAGAACAUCUCUCACACAUGCUCUUGAGAUAAACAGAUGCUGUUGGAAAGGAAGAUGGUGGAAAUUCAUUUUUGACCCUGACACGCUUGCAGCGGCUCAGCUCCUGCCGACCCUUCUCAGGCAGCUUCCUCAAGCCCCCUGCCCUCCCUAAUGUGACUGCUCAAUGCCUCCCAAUAUUGCACAUUGCUUACCCAGGUAUUGGUAAUAAUAAUAGAGGCACCGUUUGGCUUGCAAACUUAGCCUUGAAAAAAACAGCCUGUCUGAAAACAGAAAGAGAACCUAACCUCACCACCUCAUGAGGCCUACAAACCUCUGCUGGGUGAUAUGCAAACAGCAACACUAUGCUUUUUAGAGGACUUGGUAUUAAUUUGCUCUAACCUCUGUAGGAACAGAAAUUCUGUAAUAAUCCAUUCUCAAUUAUUUGGAAAGACGGAAAAUCCAGCGGCCUAAUGAAGAAACAGAAUCUUUGCUAAGUGCUGAAAGAAUUCAUACUGUGCAUAUUUCCAUCUCCUUGCUAAUAUACAAGCACUUAUACAGUGCUAGG
rnacentral:lncRNA from 1 species